GACGAACGCUGGCGGCGUGCUUAACACAUGCAAGUCGAGCGGAAAGGCCCUGCUUUUGUGGGGUGCUCGAGUGGCGAACGGGUGAGUAACACGUGAGUAACCUGCCCUUGACUUUGGGAUAACUUCAGGAAACUGGGGCUAAUACCGGAUAGGAGCUCCUGCUGCAUGGUGGGGGUUGGAAAGGUUCGGCGGUUGGGGAUGGACUCGCGGCUUAUCAGCUUGUUGGUGGGGUAGUGGCUUACCAAGGCUUUGACGGGUAGCCGGCCUGAGAGGGUGACCGGCCACAUUGGGACUGAGAUACGGCCCAGACUCCUACGGGAGGCAGCAGUGGGGAAUAUUGCACAAUGGGCGGAAGCCUGAUGCAGCAACGCCGCGUGCGGGAUGACGGCCUUCGGGUUGUAAACCGCUUUCGCCUGUGACGAAGCGUGAGUGACGGUAAUGGGUAAAGAAGCACCGGCUAACUACGUG
rnacentral:rRNA from 1 species